GCUGGAUGUGGUGGUGCACACCUGUAAUCCCACCUACUCUGGAGGCCAAGGUAGGAGAAUUGCAAGUUGAAAGCCAGCCUCAGCAACUUGGCAAGACCCUGUCUCAA
rnacentral:sRNA from 1 species